rnacentral:rRNA from 1 species
UAAUGAGGGGAGGAAAAGAAACUAACAAGGAUUUUCUUAGUAGCGGCGAGCGAAAAGAAAAAAAUAAGUUCAGCACUAAGUCACUUUGUCUUUUAUGGCAAAUGUGAGAUGCAGUGUUUGUGGAAUAUCAAAUUUCUAGUAUGAGAAAUUAGCGAUUUAAGUCCUUCUUAAAUGAGGCCAUUUACCCAGAGAGGGUGCCAGGCCCGUAUAACGUUAAUGAUUACUAGAUGAUAUUUCCAAAGAGUCGUGUUGCUUGAUAGUGCAGCACUAAGUGGGUGGUAAACUCCAUCUAAAGCUAAAUAUAACCAUGAGACCGAUAGUAAACAAGUACCGUGAGGGAAAGUUGAAAAGAACUCUGAAUAGAGAGUUAAAUAGUACGUGAAACUGCUUAGAGGUUAAACCCGAUGAACCUGAAUAAUCCGUUAUGGAAAAUCCAUCAUUAUGAUUAUAAUAUUUAAAUUUAUUUUUAAAUAGAAUAAUAAUGGUGUGCAUUUUUUCCAUAAAAGGAACAUUGUAAUCUAUUAAUAUAUAAAAUUUUAUUUACCAAAAGAUCAUUGUGCGCGCAAGUUUGUUCAGAUUAUAUUUUGCUUAUAGAAAUAAUAAUAUUAGAACAAGGGCACGCUAACUGGAUUUGGUAAAAUAUUAAUAGAAAUAUUCUAUGAGAAUAAAUAAUGCUUUAAAUAUAUAUGAUAUAAUAUGGUACAAUGUAUAUAUAUAUAAUUUUUAUAUAUAUUAUUGUAUAAUUUUACUAUAUAUUUAUUUUGUAAGUUCGCAACAUAAAUUUUUAUGCUGAUGAAUUUUACAUUGAAGCAUUUUAUAUGAUUAACAAUGCGAAAGAUUCAGGAUACCUUCGGGACCCGUCUUGAAA